GCAAGUCGAACGCGUUGGCCCAACUGAUUGAACGUGCUUGCACGGACUUGACGUUGGUUUACCAGCGAGCGGCGGACGGGUGAGUAACACGUAGGUAACCUGCCCCAAAGCGGGGGAUAACAUUUGGAAACAGAUGCUAAUACCGCAUAACAAUUUGAAUCGCAUGAUUCAAAUUUAAAAGAUGGCUUCGGCUAUCACUUUGGGAUGGACCUGCGGCGCAUUAGCUUGUUGGUAGGGUAACGGCCUACCAAGGCUGUGAUGCGUAGCCGAGUUGAGAGACUGAUCGGCCACAAUGGAACUGAGACACGGUCCAUACUCCUACGGGAGGCAGCAGUAGGGAAUCUUCCACAAUGGGCGCAAGCCUGAUGGAGCAACACCGCGUGAGUGAAGAAGGGUUUCGGCUCGUAAAGCUCUGUUGUUAGAGAAGAACGUGCGUGAGAGCAACUGUUCACGCAGUGACGGUAUCUAACCAGAAAGUCACGGCUAACUACGUGCCAGCAGCCGCGGUAAUACGUAGGUGGCAAGCGUUAUCCGGAUUUAUUGGGCGUAAAGCGAGCGCAGGCGGUUUGAUAAGUCUGAUGUGAAAGCCUUUGGCUUAACCAAAGAAGUGCAUCGGAAACUGUCAGACUUGAGUGCAGAAGAGGACAGUGGAACUCCAUGUGUAGCGGUGGAAUGCGUAGAUAUAUGGAAGAACACCAGUGGCGAAGGCGGCUGUCUGGUCUGCAACUGACGCUGAGGCUCGAAAGCAUGGGUAGCGAACAGG
rnacentral:rRNA from 1 species